GAAAAUGUGGGCUUUAUGUACCCACAGGGAAUCAGUACUUGGUAUCAAUCUUUCAAUGGAUGCAAUGUGCUAUCACAACAGAAGGGAAAAAGAAUGGAUGUGAGAAUAUCACCUUGAAGGAUUAUCCCAACUAUGACUGACGAAUUUAAAUCAUAAUCUGAAGAAGAUUGAAUUGAAAACGGCUACAAUAGCGCAAUCCGUUAAUUUGUGUCUAUCGGACUUGGCUCAGACCAGUCCGCAUAUCUACCAGACUUACAGCAAGUCAGUUUGACGGAAUACAGGGAAUGCAGCGCAUUGAGGCCCCGGGGUCUGCAGAGCGUCCGGUCCAUGGGGCAUAACUGGCAGACAUGAGUCGGUGUCUGAGGCCUAACACAGCAGCCUCCCCCCUCGCCAGGAGAGGAACGGAGAGGAGUCGUGAUGGAGGGAGAGGUUUUCUCAGGGUUGUGAUAUCCAGACUCCUCAUCGGUCUGCAACGCAAUGCUUGUGCAUGGGGGGAAGGUCCGGCUGCCUGCCUGAGACUGAAGUCUGCUCGCUGGAGGAGGCGUCGGGGAAAACUCUAAGCACUCGUGAUACAGGUUUGUUUUUGCCUCAGCACCUUUGGCCAAAAGGGCUAUUCGUGACUGAACAGCCAUAAUAAAGUUGAGCUGUUCUGUGUCGUUUCUUUCUCGCCUCUGUCCUGAUAUCAAACUCUGGUAAGUGAGCCCCAUUCUAGACAGACGGACAGACGGAUGGACGAGCAGACGGACAGACGGAUAGAUCACCUCACUGUAACUACCAGUUUGGCUGCAUUGCAGUAAGAAAGUGUGUUCGCCAAGACUGAUCUGUAUGCUUUUAAUAAACUUUGAUGCAAGUGUUUAA